CGGCGUGCCUAACACAUGCAAGUCGAGCGGGACAUUGCGACGGAGGCGAAGUACUCGUGCGGAGUCAAAGAUGUAAUGUUCUAGCGGCGGACGGGUGAGUAACGCGUGAGCAACCUGUCCCUUACAGGGGGAUAACACAGCGAAAGUUGUACUAAUACCGCAUAAGACCACAGAGUGACAUCGCUCAGGGGUCAAAGGAGCAAUCCGGUAAGGGGUGGGCUCGCGUCCGAUUAGAUAGUUGGUGAGGUAACGGCCCACCAAGUCGACGAUCGGUAGCCGACCUGAGAGGGUGAUCGGCCACAUUGGGACUGAGACACGGCCCAAACUCCUACGGGAGGCAGCAGUGGGGAAUAUUGGGCAAAAUGGGGGAAACCCUGACCCAGCAACGCCGCGUGAGGGAAGAAGGUUUUCGGAUCGUAAACCUCUGUCCCAGGUGAAGAGGAAGAGACGGUAGCCUGGGAGGAAGCCCCGGCUAACUACGUGCCAGCCGCCGC
rnacentral:rRNA from 1 species